rnacentral:misc_RNA from 1 species
GAUGAAGAACGUAGCGAAAUGCGAUAAGUAAUGCGAAUUGCAGAAUCCGUGAGUCAUCGAAUCUUUGAACGCACAUUGCGCCCUCUGGUAUUCCGGGGGGCAUGCCUGUUCGAGCGUCAUUAUAACCACUCAAGCUCUCGCUUGGUAUUGGGGUUCGCGGUUCCGCGGCCCCUAAAAUCAGUGGCGGUGCCUGUCGGCUCUACGCGUAGUAAUACUCCUCGCGAUUGAGUCCGGUAGGUCUACUUGCCAGCAACCCCCAAUUUUUACAGGUUGACCUCGGAUCAGGUAGGGAUACCCGCUGAACUUAAGCAUAUCAAUAAGCGGAGGA